AUUGAACGCUGGCGGCAUGCCUUACACAUGCAAGUCGAGCGCGAAAGGGGGGCAACCCCGAGUAGAGCGGCGGACGGGUGAGUAACGCAUCGGAACGUGCCCAGUAGGUGGGGGACAACCUCGAGAAAUCGAGGCUAAUACCGCAUACGACCCACGGGUGAAAGCGAGGGGACCGCAAGGCCUCGCGCUAUUGGAGCGGCCGAUGUCCGAUUAGCUAGUUGGGCGGGGUAAGAGCCCACCAAGGCGACGAUCGGUAGCUGGUCUGAGAGGACGACCAGCCACACUGGGACUGAGACACGGCCCA
rnacentral:rRNA from 1 species